AGCGAACGCUGGCGGCGUACUUAACACAUGCAAGUCGAACGAGGAUCAUCGGUGUAGCAAUACAUUGGUGGUCCUAGUGGCGCACGGGUGAGUAACACGUGGGUAACCUGCCCUUGAGUUCGGGAUACCCCCUCGAAAGGGGGGCUAAUACCGGAUACGUUCCUCGGAUCGACAGGUCUGGGGAGGAAAGGUGGCGCAAGCUGCCGCUCUUGGAGGGGCUCGCGGCCUAUCAGCUAGUUGGCGGGGUAACGGCCCACCAAGGCUAUGACGGGUAGCUGGUCUGAGAGGACGACCAGCCACACGGGGACUGAGACACGGCCCCGACUCCUACGGGAGGCAGCAGUGGGGAAUUUCCGCAAUGGGCGAAAGCCUGACGCAGCGACGCCGCGUGAGGGAUGACGGCCU
rnacentral:rRNA from 1 species